CAGCGGGGAAACACCUGUCCGUCAAGCAGAGGAUUUACACCAGACGUGAAGUCCAGCUCGUUAGAAAGUAGAAGACUGUCUACUCCCCAGAUGAAGAAACCAAGGCACUGAAAGCUGGAAAGGGACAGAGAGGGGACUCAAAUGCUGCCUCUCUGACUCCAUUUAUUACAAGCUGCUUCCUCUACACCAAACUAGACAGAUGUGGUCCUUGCCUUACAGGAGUAUCUUCCUAUGCAUCUAGACUUGGAGUCUUUGGGGUCCCAGCCACCCUGCUUUAUGAACGUAAAUCAGACUGGAUCAGGUAACUUCUCUGCCUCCUCCCUUUUUUCAAAACUAAAACAGGCACAAUGAAUGCUGUCUUCUAGUUCAUCAAGCCAUUAUCAGAACCAACAUAAAAAUGAAAAAAUGUAAAAUUUCUUAAUUCAUCUUUGCUAUGGCAUUAACAUUUAUGUAAGAUGCUCAUUAGUCCUGCAGCUCUGGGAGUCCUUGACACUGAGUGUUGUCCAACCUGCUCAGUCCCCAGACCCUCUGAACGCCUCGGACGUGCUAGACACCCUUGCCCUGGCCUCCCUGACUUCCCUCCUUCUGAGGGUCCCAUGGAGAGGGCAGGGCUAAGGCAGUAGAGAUGAGUCCUGGGAAAAUAGGAUGUCAGCACAGCAGGAAAAGUUCAGACAGGAUUUCAAGGUCAAGAGAGUCAGUCCCGGGCCUCAUGCUUCAUCCUGGUGCUGGGUGGUCAUUAACGCAGCCCUGGAUUCUUCUUGGCCUCAAAAAAAAAAAAAAAGACAUUUCAUGGCCAAGGACCACAGUAAUGAGGAACCGGGGAUGUGCUGGGUAGCCUGCAGACUCAGCAGAACUUCUCUACCUUAGAGGUCUCUCUCCUCCUUCCUCCCUCUUCCUCCAUCCCUCUGAAGUCAGCAAAGCCUUUGAACAGCAUCUAGAAGGAGGUUCCUUAGCCUUUGGAGCAGCACAGGGCUGAGGCGCACUGGUAGGUCCUCCGUAUAGGCCUCCUGGAGCCUCUCUCCUCUGCCCCCGCCUCUCCACCAAGGCCAAACUGCCUUGGCCUCAGAGAGUUCAUAGGGUCUGUAGGGACCGGCUGGAGCCCAGGGCCCAGAAAAUGGUGGGGCUGAGGGUGGGUAGCAAUGCUUUACCAUAAUCUCCAGUCCCUUGUCCCUUAAAACUGGGGGUAGGCCUGGUCAGGCCAGCACAUAUUUACCAACCCUGACCUGCCACCCCUGCCCUGGGCUACAGGUGACACUGAAAGCUGCAAACUUGCCACUUCGGACUUACCACACCAUCCCUUUGCUUAUUUAUGAAGCAUUACUCAACUCUCUUUUCUCUUUCUCUCCACCGUACCCCUGCUGUCCAGUCCCCCUCCCGAGUGCUGCUGGAAACCUUCCCAAACAGCCCCUUUACCCAACUGGCACAGUGUCUGCACACAAACACAUGCACCCACUCACAGGUACAUGCAGACCCUUACUCUCAAACACACACAUGGGGGGGCGUGGAGAGAGAGGGAGGGAGAGAGAGAGACAACACACGUAAACUCCUGAGCCCAGUAGCCCAUCGCUGAAGUCCCAGGUCCACCUGUGCAGACAUGCAGUUGCAUUCUCGCCCCUGAGAAGCAUGGACACAGAAGUAAACGAGCACAGUUUCAGAAGCUGAUGCUGCCACUGAAUCUUCCAGAGCUUCUCAGGGAUCAGAGACGUGCCUUCUUUUGUGCUUAGUGGGAAUUCUCCAUAAAGAGCACAAUGUGCGUUCAGGGCGUCUGGGGCUUGUACACAGACUGUAUGACAAGACUGGGAUAAGCCCUCCCCGGAAGCACCUGAGCUCUGAGUCACCCCAGAGGACCUGCAGAAGGAGGAGCGCAAAUCUGAGGGGGGGUGUUCAUUGGAACCAGCACCUGCCCAUCAUUUGUACUCAGUAAAUCAGCUGAAGAUCCUAGGGCAGGAAGGAGGAGCCCAGGAGCAGGCUCCAGAGGGUGUAGAUUUUGAAACCGGAAAGGAAGAAGCUAUUUGGGCCUCUCUCAAGGAGUGACUGUCUGUUCCAAAACACACAAAGCAAUGAUGGCGCUUUCCCGAGGGGUGGCUACUUGGGUCCUGGCGAAGGGGAGCUUCACCAGAAGGGUUUCUUUCCAUCUCAGUGUAUUCAGAAAAACCAUCAGGAGAAAGAGAAGUGAACUAGGGUAAGGUGUGGGGCUUCCAGGAACCAGAGAGGAGCCAAGUAUAAUGAGAAGACCAAACGCACUAAUAUUCGAAUGGAACCCAAAUUCUCCCUCUGCCACUCCACUGGCUGUGAGAUCUUGGGCAACACAACCUCUCUGACCCUCGUUUCCUUUUCUAUAAAAUGAAGAUAUACUAUCGUACUCUGUAUGAUGUCGGUGAAGAUCAAAAGAGUUGGAAAGACGUGAAGUGCUCAGCGUCACAUUGGCACGUGGCAGGGUCCAGCAGAUGGUGGGGUGUGAGGAGGAAAGGACAAAGCCUGAAACCCAGGGCAGGCAGGUUGAAGGUCGUUCCCCAGCGGGGACUGGGGCUGCUGGCACCGAGGUGGGACCCAGAGAAAGAAGGGCAGCUACAGGCUGCAGUGACUGUGCCCUGUCGGAGCGCACAGUGGCCGAUACUCUGACGCUAGGCUGCCGAGUUUCAGUCCUCCUAGCCGUGUGGCUUACAGCGAACUUCUGUGACUUGCUUUCUCCACCUGUAAAAUGGUUAUGAUAGUAAAUAAUAGGAUCUAGUUUAUGCACUUGUUAUGAGAAGUGAAUGAGUUAAUAUUUGUAAAGUGCUUAGAAUAGUACCUGACACCUAAUCAUUGCUAUCUAAACAUACGCUAAGUAAAUAAAAAUAAACCAGGCUCACAAGCUAACAGGGAAUCCAGCGGCCGGAGUGCGAGGAGGAAGCAGGGCAGCCACAGGCAGCCGCCUCUUCGCCUCCUCGUUGCAGGGUCUGUGCUCCUCAGAGCCCGGCCUCUCAGAUGUCCUCUCUUCCCCUCUAGUGCCUGUGGCUAGUUUACCUUAGGAAACAAGUUACCCUUUAAAGUCUUCAGGUUGCUCAAGGGUUUGUUAAGGGAAAAGAAGAUAUUUCUUUUUUAAAACAUUUUAUUUUUAGACAGAGCAGAAGGGAAGGAGAGAGAGAGGGAAAGAAAUAUCAAUGUGUGGCUGCCUCUCGCACGCCCCACACUGGGGGACCUGGCCCACAACCCAGGCAUGUGCCCCAAAUGGGAAUUGAACCGAAGACCCUUAGGUUCUCAGGCCUGCACUCAAUCCAUUGAGCCCCACACCAGCCAGGGUGGAGAUAUUUCUUUACAUGUUGUUGGUGGUGCUGUGGAUUGGUCCCACUCUCCUGGGGUUAGGUCAAACCACAACACUGUUCACACCCUUUGAUCAGUUAAUCCCACUUUUGGGACCAUACCCCAAAGAAAUAAAAAAGCAAUUUGUACAAAGAUGUUUAUAAUAGCACUAUUCAUAACAGCUCAACCUUGGAAGCAACCCAAACACCCAACACUAGGGAAAUGGUUAAGCCAGGCGGGGAACAGCAGCCCAAGGAGGAGCCCAAGCCUCCACCUCCCAGAUGUGACACAGAGGAGUAGCGGGAGCUACCAAGAUGCCAAGCAUCGUGAAAAUGGCAAUGUUCCCCUGGAAAUUUACAGACUCACUGCCCGACGAAUCUGAAUCAUACCAGACAUUUUCUUGGAACCAGAAAAAAAUGAUUCCCAGUUUCACAUGAGAAGUAAGUAAGUGAACCAACACAUAUCAAAUAAUUUUCUAAAGAAAAGCAAAUGUGACCAGAUGUUAAACCAUUUUGUUAUAGGGCAGCAAAGUGAAGACAGUGCGGUGUAGGCGCCAAAACAGACAUUUACGUCAGUGGGACAGAAAAGAGCCCGGAAAUAGAGCCCACCACCCGGGAGUCUCGGAUAGAUGCUAGAAAACAGGGAGAAGGAAACGUAACUCGUCAUAAAUGGUGUCGAGAAGAGCUUUGCCAUUUGAAAAAAAUGUCAUUUUACAUCAUAUAAAAUUAAAAGCAAGACAGUUAAUAAUUAAAACAACCGAGAGGGUGUGUCGGUGCAGGGAAAUAUAGGUACAAUGCAAUGUUUGGGUUUUGCAUUUUUUUAUUGACUCAUCCCCUUUUUAAAUUUUUUUAUUUAUUUAUCUUUAGAAGGGAAAGGAAGGAGAGAAGGAGAGAAAUAUCAAUGUAUGGUUUGCUUCUCAUGCAUCCCCUGCUGGGAACUGGCCCCUGCUGGGAACUGGCCUGCAACCCAGGCAUGUGCCCUGACUGGGAAUCGAACCACAAUCUUUUGGUUCACAGGCCCGCACUCAAUCCACUGAGCUACACCAGCCAGAGCUUCAAUGCAAUGUUAAAUGUAAAAAAUUCAAAGAGGACUGUAUGUUCUCGUAACUACCACUCCAAAAAAGUGCGUGUCCUCCUGACCUUGAUAAGGAGCAAGGGAUGAAACACUCUAAUUCGUGUAUAGGCUUGGUGCUUCGAACUGAUGGCGCUUUUUGUUGUCGAGAAGGGAGGAGUUGAGUGAAAUGGGGGAGGAAGGGGUGUGAGUCCUCCCACGCUCCCACCUUCCCAUCAACACAGACAAGAAGUCAGUGCUGCUGGCGGAGGGGCUGGGACUGUAUCCACGCCAGGUGCCAGGUCGGAUGGGCGACCCAGCAGCAGGAGACAGCCAGAACAGAGGGCUGUGAAUACUCGCUACCUUCUAAUUUGAUGCUUGAAUCUGGCCCUGAACCUCGGCUUCCCUGCCCCCAAACCAGACUCAGACACCUACCAGCUCCCGAGAAGCCGGACUGCCUGUAGGUUUCCAAUUUCAGUCCUCUGUUUAUAAACUGGGUGGCCUUGGACCAGGAACUUAACCUCUCUGGAUCUGAAUCUUCUGAUCUCUAAAGUGGAGAUCAGGGUAGCAUCCAUUCACAGAAUUGCUGUGAAAAUUAAAUCAGGGAAUUCCUGUGAGCCCACUGCACAGUGCGUGGCCCAUAGUAAAUCUUCAGUCGAAGGUUGAUUAUAAUUUGGGUCGGGGUUGAGGAAAUUCGAAUAAAGUAGGUAGAAAACAGUGUUUGAUUUCCUGGACACCUAUGUCUUCUGGGUGUCCAGUUGGUUUUAUGGCUGAGCCCACCUGGCUUUCUCCCUUAUCUCAGCUGACAAGACAAGAAAGCCUUGGCCAAGAGGGGGUCUUCAUUGUAGACCAAGAACCCAGUGCUGACACACAGGGCUCAGCUGCCUCAGCUUCCUCCUCCGUCAUGGGGCUCAGCCUUCCCCUCCCCACGGGGGAAAAGACCAGGCCAAGUCUCCACCAAGGAUUCAGGAAAACAGCCUGUGUGACUGGGGCAUAAGGAGAGGAGGGGCCAGGUUCUGGGCACUUGACUGCAGGCCAUGUCUUCCUGGGCAGAGCACUGGCCUUCAGCCCCCUCGUCCUGCUGUGAGCAUGCUUGCACUUGGCUCCCUGCAGUGACGGCUCCGUCCAAUUCUAGACUGCAGCUCCCACCAUGAGGCUCCAGGCUAACAGGAAAGCAGGGAUGCUUUUCUUGAACUGUCUUUCUCUAGCCUUCUUGCUAAGUCUGCCACAGUCUGGGCAACAGGAGUGGGAAGUGCAGUGAGUGUUGUAUUUCCUGCCAUCUUCCCUAUAUGUCCCUCGCAUACAAAGGUGGGAGUUUCGUUAUCUUUUGGUGAAAACUUUUGUGCUUAGCUAAGGUAAGACUUCCAAGAAUCUACUUAUGGCCACUGAGUGGCCCCCCAGAGGGUCAAAGGCAGUGACCACCAGGUCUGUGCAGGAUGGAGGGACAUGCAGGGCAUGGCUCUUUGAAAGCCAGGUGGCAAAGCACUUUCUUCUCCUGGGGUUGGGACCAGGUAAACCUUUAAGAGCCACAGUGACUACAGAACAAAGUGAACCUCAGUCCUAGAGAGAGAGGAGCCCAGAGGGGCCUUGGAGAGGAGAGAAGGAAACCUGGCGAGAGCCGAGGAGCCUUCCUGACUCCGCAGGGAGGGCGACCCCACAUAUCUGCUCACAAAUUUGAACCCAAACAGAGUUGGGGAGGUUGAUUACCAAGAAAGCUUUCAUGCAUUCACCCAUUUAUUCAUUUAUUUAUCUCUGCAGCCAACUUUGUGGAGCUUUGCUCAGAGCCAGGGUGGUGCCUACAAGGAUUGAGCUGGGAAAGGGGUUCAGGAGGGACCCACUGGGGGCGGGGCAGGCCCAGCAACACUCUCAUUUCUGGCAGAGCCUGAACCAACCACUUCUCAAUCUUUCUGGAAUUCCGGGUGACUUUGUACUUUGCCUGUGUUUGUUAUUUUUGCUAACCCCUGUUUGCUUGUAGUUCCUGGUGAUUAGAAAAACAAGCAAACCAAGCCUUGAACACGAGAAGGGGGGUGUAUGCUUGUCUCGGAGAUGGGGAGCAGAAGAGGCCUGGAGAGCUGCCGAGAGACAGAGGUGCAGGGAGGGAGAGCCAGAAGUCAGAGCUCUUCUCCCUGUCCCCAGUCCUCCCCCACGACCCUCCCCCCUCCCCAGUGUCCCCAGCCUCCUUCUUUAUCCCCGACUCCUCUCUCCUCCCUUUACAUGUCCCCCAGCAUCAUUCAGGUUCUCAAGGCCCCUCCCACUCCCUCUUGGGAGUCUGGCCAUGGAGGGGGUGCUGGAGAACUCGGGCUGGGCCUGAGCAUCCCCCUCCCCAAUGAGUUUUCAUUCUGGGAUGCACCCUGGCCUCUGAGGGUCAAAGGUGGCAGCUUUAUUUACUCACAGCCAUGCUCUCACUGAGCCGGUCCUUUCAUCAUUUUUUAUCACUGAAACAGCCCAGUGGCUGCAGGCGCCCUGGGAGACCACCCCUCCACUUCCCCUCUCCCACAGCCUUCAGACACACAGACACUUGUGUCCCUCCAGUAAAGGCUCUGCUCUCUCAGAGAAGUACAGCUUUACUCUUGGGACAGUUCUCAGCUGUCGAUUUGAUCACAUUCCUCUGUUAGAGCCCAAGCCUAAGAAAGAGGCUGAGGGUUGAUCAGUGUGAGAGAGUGGGCAUGUGUGUGAGUUUGUGUGUGUGAGAGAGGCUGAGGGUGCAUGUGUGAGAGUGUGCAUUUGAAUUUGAAAAUCAAGGUACAUUUAACAUGUCUGUCUUUGUGUUUGAGAAUGUGUUUGUGUGUGAGAACCUGUGUGAGUGUAUAUAAGCAUGUUUUUAAGAUUUACAUACACAUAUGUGUGCACAUGAUAACCACAUAUGUGAGAGCAAUGAGAAUGUGCACAUGUGCAUGAGAAACUGGGUGUGUUUUGGGAUUGUGUGAGUGUGCAGGUGUGCAGACUUGUGUCAGAAACACGCACACAGAAUCUGCUUGUGUGUGAGCAUCCCCAGGCAUGAAUACCGUUCACAAACAUGUCUGCACAAUAGCGAGAUAGAUCUCAGAACUAUGACGUUAAGAGGCAGGGCCAGACCCAGAAGUUAACACACUGUGUAAUGUCAAUUACAUAAAGUAUAAAAACAGGCGGAAUUGAUCCAUGGUGUCAGGAGUCAGAACAGGGCAUUGUGUCUGCAAAGGGGGUGUAAGCGGAUCCUGGGUACUGAUGACACUCUACUUUUUUGAUCAGGAUGCUGUUUACUUGGGUGUGUCUACUUUGUGGAAAUUCAUUGAGCAAUACACUCAUAUAAUAAUAAACCAUAAAGUACAUAUGUA